rnacentral:lncRNA from 1 species
AAUAAAACGCGAUUUUUUCCGAAUUUUUCCCAAAAGUUCGAAAACGGACGUUUUAUUCGGAAUAUCAAAAAUUCGCGAAUAAUUCGCGAAUAAUUCGCGAAUUAACUAACUAUGAUCCAAACAGAAUGAUGUAAUGAAUCAUUCCAAUUCUGUUUCCAUUUUCAGCUUAUUCACAUUUUGAUUUCCAUAUCGGUUUCGACUUCGAACCAAAUACAUCCUAUAAAGUAAUUAGUUGUCUUUAAAAACUUAAUUAAUAAAAAAAAUAGUACUGUUAAUCUCCAUAUAUUUUUAUCCCAAGUUUUUUUAUCUUAUAAUAUAUAUUAUGUACACUAUUGAAAAUAGUGUAUAGUUGAGGGGUCUACAUGCAUAGUUUAUCCCUUCCCCUCUUAAUAAAUUAAUUAAUAACUAGAAGCCAGUGAAGGGGCUCAGAUGGUCCUGGGGCUUCGGAACUUGCGUCCACCCCCCCUUCCCUCCUCCACUCCCUGCCAGAUUUCUUCCCCCGUCCUCGUGCCUCUCCUCAGCCCUCCCACUGGCUGCCUGCCUCUCACUCUUCUUGCCCUCUCCACUGUCUAAAAGCCUAGGAUUAAUUAAUAAAAUUAUUUCUUUUGAGUUUAUCUGUUCUAUCAUGAUUAAUAAAAAAAUAUUUUUAUUAUAAUAUUCUCUUAAAAAGAAAGAUAUGAUUGGCGUGUUACUGAUAAUAUAGUACAUUGUGAUACUGUAGAUUUCCUCCAACCUCUCCUCUCUAAAAUCAACUGUACAGCAGUCAGCAGCUACAGCUACAACAUGUCAUUUAUAUUCAAUUAAUUAUACUUUUUUUAAAAAAAUAAAUUAUUUUAAAAUAAAUUAUGUUAUAAUGAACGAACUCCGAAGGAGUAGUUUGAUUGACUGGAAACGCCACAUCAGACUUAUAGAGGAGGAAGUCUACUAUGCGACAGUCAAACUACAUCAUCCAUAUUUUAACCAAUCAAAUUUUCUCUUAAAAAAAGUAAAGUAAAAAUACUUUUCAACCUUAGAAAACAAUUAUGAUUGGUUAGAGAUGCCACGUCGUCUACUCCACUUUUAUAUCUUUGGCUUUCUUUCGUUGGAGACCCUCCGGUCCAUCAUUAAUAUGCGCACUGAUACAAAACAGUCUUUUUUAUUGCAGUUAUUUUAUAUUUAUUCUAAAUUAGUUAUAUUUUGCUAAGUGAGGUAAAAAAGAAUUUAAUAAAGAACAAUAUUGCAAUUUUGUAUUAAAAGAAUAUUUUUGAAUUUUUUAAUAUUUUUAUAUAAUGUAAGGAUAUUUGGUUGGAAGCUGUAAAUUUUAUAUGAAAUAACUGUGAUAGAGAAAAUUUUCU